rnacentral:rRNA from 1 species
UACGUAGGGCCCAAGCGUUGUUCGGAUUUACUGGGCGUAAAGGGCGCGUAGGCGGCGCGGUAAGUCACUUGUGAAAUCUCUGAGCUUAACUCAGAACGGCCAAGUGAUACUGCAGUGCUAGAGUGUGGAAGGGGCAAUCGGAAUUCUUGGUGUAGCGGUGAAAUGCGUAGAUAUCAAGAGGAACACCUGAGGUGAAGACGGGUUGCUGGGCCAACACUGACGCUGAGGCGCGAAAGCUAGGGGAGCAAACGGG